UGACUGCAGGUGAUAGUGUUGACGUC
rnacentral:piRNA from 1 species